UUUGAUUCUACACAAUGGCUACCGGACAACUGUUCUCUCGCACUACAUAAGCACUGUUUUACAACUAUAAGCAACUUCCAAUCCAGCGGAUCCUGGACUUUGACUUCCUUUGUGGGAGGGAGACACCAUCAGUUGCUGGAAUCAUUAACCCAGAUGCUGAGGGAUUUCAGAAACUCUUUUUUGGUCAAGAAGAAAUAGCCAUCCCGGUCCAUUCAUCCAUUGAAGCAGCUUGUGCCGCACACCCUACUACUGAUGUCUUUAUCAACUUUGCUUCAUUUAGAAGG